AUUGAACGCUGGCGGCAUGCUUUACACAUGCAAGUCGAACGGUAACAGGCCUUCGGGUGCUGACGAGUGGCGAACGGGUGCGUAAUGCAUCGGAACGUACCCAGAGGUGGGGGAUAACGCAGCGAAAGCUGUGCUAAUACCGCAUGUGAUCUGAGGAUGAAAGCGGGGGACCGAGCAGCAAUGUUUGGCCUCGCGCCUUUGGAGCGGCCGAUGUCGGAUUAGCUAGUUGGUGGGGUAAAGGCCUACCAAGGCGACGAUCCGUAGCUGGUCUGAGAGGACGACCAGCCAAACUGGGACUGAGACACGGCCCAGACUCCUACGGGAGGCAGCAGUGGGGAAUUUUGGACAAAGGGCGCAAGCCUGAUCCAGCAAUGCCGCGUGCGGGAAGAAGGCCUUCGGGUUGUAAACCGCUUUUGGCAGGAACGAAACGGUGUCCGCUAAUAACGGGCGCUAAUGACGGUACCUGCAGAAUAAGCACCGGCUAACUACGUG
rnacentral:rRNA from 1 species